GAUGAACGCUGGCGGCGUGCCUAAUACAUGCAAGUCGAGCGAACGGACGAGAAGCUUGCUUCUCUGAUGUUGGCGGCGGACGGGUGAGUAACACGUGGAUAACCUACCUAUAAGACUGGGAUAACUUCGGGAAACCGGAGCUAAUACCGGAUAAUAUUUUGAACCGCAUGGUUCAAAAGUGAAAGACGGUCUUGCUGUCACUUAUAGCUGGAUCCGCGCUGCAUUAGCUAGUUGGUAAGGUAACGGCUUACCAAGGCAACGAUGCAUAGCCGACCUGAGAGGGUGAUCGGCCACACUGGAACUGAGACACGGUCCAGACUCCUACGGGAGGCAGCAGUAGGGAAUCUUCCGCAAAGGGCGAAAGCCUGACGGAGCAACGCCGCGUGAGUGAUGAAGGUCUUCGGAUCGUAAAACUCUGUUAUUAGGGAAGAACAUAUGUGUAAGUAACUGUGCACAUCUUGACGGUACCUAAUCAGAAAGCCACGGCUAACUACGUG
rnacentral:rRNA from 1 species